UACGUAGGGUGCAAGCGUUAAUCGGAAUUACUGGGCGUAAAGCGUGCGCAGGCGGCUUUGCAAGACAGAUGUGAAAUCCCCGGGCUCAACCUGGGAACUGCAUCUGUGACUGCAUGGCUAGAGUGCGGCAGAGGGGGAUGGAAUUCCGCGUGUAGCAGUGAAAUGCGUAGAUAUGCGGAGGAACACCGAUGGCGAAGGCAAUCCCCUGGGCCUGCACUGACGCUCAUGCACGAAAGCGUGGGGAGCAAACAGG
rnacentral:rRNA from 1 species